rnacentral:rRNA from 1 species
AGCAGCCGCGGUAAUUCCAGCUCCAAUAGCGUAUAUUAAAGUUGUUGCAGUUAAAAAGCUCGUAGUUGAAUUUCGAGAUCAAAUUGUUGGUCGUGCCUCGGUACGUACUGGCAUUAUUGAUUUCUCCCUUCUGAAGAACCACGAUGUCAUUAAUUUGGUGUCGUGGGGAAUCAGGACCGUUACUUUGAAAAAAUUAGAGUGUUUAAAGCAGGCUCACGCUUGAAUACAUUAGCAUGGAAUAAUGAAAUAGGACGUUUGAUUCUAUUUUGUUGGUUUCUAGGAUCGACGUAAUGAUUAAUAGGGAUAGUUGGGGGCAUUAGUAUUCAAUUGUCAGAGGUGAAAUUCUUGGAUUUAUUGAAGACUAACUACUGCGAAAGCAUUUGCCAAGGAUGUUUUCAUUAAUCAAGAACGAAAGUUAGGGGAUCGAAGACGAUCAGAUACCGUCGUAGUCUUAACCAUAAACUAUGACCGACUAGGGAUCGGAUGAUGU